GACGUCCACUCUAAAAAANUUACAUUCUGCGAUUUCGNCACACAACAGCUAACNUGUGCCNAUAAGUGGACAACANUAAAACCCUGCAACCCUAUGUUCGNAAGUUUUUCUCUUCAAUAGAUACACACUUCCCUGUUAUGGUUACGACAUUU
rnacentral:snoRNA from 1 species